UUCGGAUCGCAGUCUGCAACUCGACUGCGUGAAGGUGGAGUCGCUAGUAAUCGCGGAUCAGCAACGCCGCGGUGAAUACGUUCCCGGGCCUUGUACACACCGCCCGUCACACCAUGGAAGUCUGCAAUGCCCGAAGCCGGUGGCCUAACCACUUAUGUGGAAGGAGCCGUCUAAGGCAGGGCAGAUGACUGGGGUGAAGUCGUAACAAGGUAUC
rnacentral:rRNA from 1 species